rnacentral:lncRNA from 1 species
UGGGGAUACACUUAGGGAACUCACUAUACUCCAGGUCAUACCGGAUAUACAGGAUAUACAGCUGGAUAUGACAAUAUCCAAGAAAAUACAGAAUCCUACAAUUAUUCAUAUUUCCAGAAUGAAGGUAGUGAAUGGGAGGAGGGCCCUGCCCCCAGUGCUCCACGCUACGAGGACCUGGUUGGAACACGCCCACCUCUAUACCCAGACAACCCUGGUCCUCCACCCACUGGGCGGGGAUUCAUUCUACGCAGUGAUGAGGGACUAGAUGAGUUGAGGAGGAGAAGAUUAGAGCGGUUCUCCUGACAUGAGGGGAGGAGGUCCAGCACCUCCAGGUCCUCCUCCUAUACCCACUCCACGUCCUCCUCCUUCAUCCACUCAAGGUCCUCCUACUCCUCUAGAUCCUCUAGAAGUUGUUCCAGAGAAAGUUCAGUUUUUUCAAGAUCUGUGACCCCUGAAUCUACCCAUUCCCUUCAACGUGAAAGGUCAAUCAGUACAACUAGCAGCCAGUCAAAGAGUACACAAAGUACAAGAAGUACACCUGCCUUAAGAUCUCAGAGUACAGAGAGUACAGAUUCAGACCAAACUAUUCACAAUCAUUUAUCUCAAAAUAGUUUUCAUAAUUCAGGACAACAUAUUAAACAAGGACAAGACAAUGAUGAGGACAAGAGUCCUAAUAUUAGUCCUGGAGAGAGGACGGUAUUUAAUGAGGACAAGAAUACAGUAUCAGUUUCCCCUGCUAGAUAGUAGAGACCUAGAAUCUGAAUCCAAAGUCUGAUGUGAUUUUAACCUCUAGCAUAAAUCAUAAUUUCCAUUUUCCUUCUACAAACCCUCCUUUGGAGACUUAGAGGAUAGAUUUCAGAGAUUCAAACGAGUAUUCUACCAACUUCAUGAAAAUCACACUUGACUUGUAAAAGUAAUUAUUGUUAAUUAAUUAUUAACGCCUUAACAGCAGUGCUUAAAAUUCGGCUUAGCUAGAGACUGACUGAAUAAAAGACCAAUAUGUUC